UACGUAGGGUGCGAGCGUUAAUCGGAAUUACUGGGCGUAAAGUGUUCGCAGGCGGCAGAGCAAGUCGAGUGUGAAAGCCCCGGGCUUAACUUGGGAAUUGCGCUCGAAACUACUUUGCUGGAGUGUGGCAGAGGAAGGUGGAAUUCCACGUGUAGCGGUGAAAUGCGUAGAGAUGUGGAGGAACACCAAUGGCGAAGGCAGCCUUCUGGGCCAACACUGACGCUCAUGCACGAAAGCGUGGGGAGCAAACAGG
rnacentral:rRNA from 1 species